GGUACUGGCUCUUUUCCCCCAAGAUUGGACGCUUGACUCUCCAAGAUUUCCAUGUUGAUGGUUAAGUUAAUUUCGUGACUUGGGUAUUUGAAAAGGGGUAGUACAUGGGAGUUAGGCUCUGGCGAUGUGCAUGUGAAAAGGAGAAAUACUCCCCGCGACCACAGGGCGGGAGGGAGUACACCUGUUGCUUGAGGAUCCGUUACUUUAUCUUCAGUGCUGGACGCUGGCAGAGAGCGCAACUUAUUAUUGUUAUAUCUUUAAAGUUUUUCUCCUCGAGAUAGCAACGCCAAGAUCAUCGCCCCUGAUUCGAAAAGGAGCAACAAAAUAAUAGAUGUUCGCGAUGAUUGGAGUUUUCAUAUCCAGUAGCCAGUUGGCGUUACUUUUUAUCAUCAUUUCUGGUUUAAUAACAAGGAUUCUCUCAUUACAAGCCUUCCAGAUAAGAGAAUUAGACGACAGACGAUUAGAAAAGAAUAGAAAUCGAUACACAGGUGAGAUCGGCCCCCCUCCUUUUAUGGCCCGGCCCCCGCCUGGUUACUCCGUCUAUGAUCUCAUUCAAAUUGCUGAAAAUGAACGCGUUGCCUUCUCACCUUACCCGACAAACUUCAAGCCAAAAGUACCUCUUCUACCCCCACCCAAAAGGUCGCCCGCAGACUAUUUAAAGGAAAAC